rnacentral:rRNA from 1 species
UAAAGAUUCAUCGCUGAUAGAUAGGCAUGCGUUCCAUUAGGCAGUUGGCGGGGUAACGGCCCACCAAACCGACGAUGGAUAGGGGUUCUGAGAGGAAGGUCCCCCACAUUGGUACUGAGACACGGACCAAACUCCUACGGGAGGCAGCAGUGAGGAAUAUUGGUCAAUGGGCGCGAGCCUGAACCAGCCAAGUCGCGUGAGGGAUGAAGGUUCUAUGGAUCGUAAACCUCUUUUAUAAGGGAAUAAAGUGUGGGACGUGUCCUAUUUUGUAUGUACCAUAUGAAUAAGGAUCGGCUAACUCCGUGCCAGCAGCCGCGGUAAUACGGAGGAUCCGAGCGUUAUCCGGAUUUAUUGGGUUUAAAGGGUGCGUAGGCGGCCUUUUAAGUCAGCGGUGAAAGUCUGUGGCUCAACCAUAGAAUUGCCGUUGAAACUGGGGGGCUUGAGUAUGUUUGAGGCAGGCGGAAUGCGUGGUGUAGCGGUGAAAUGCUUAGAUAUCACGCAGAACCCCGAUUGCGAAGGCAGCCUGCCAAGCCAUGACUGACGCUGAUGCACGAAAGCGUGGGGAUCAAACAGGAUUAGAUACCCUGGUAGUCCACGCAGUAAACGAUGAUCACUAGCUGUUUGCGAUACAGUGUAA